UUUUUUUUUUUUUUGCCGGGCGGUGUGUACAACCGGCAGGGACGUAAUCAACGUGAGCUGAUGACUCGCGCUUACUAGGCAUUCCUCGUUUAAGGGCAAUAAUUACAAUACCCUAUCCCGGACAUGGAAGAAUUUCAACGGUUUACCGAUACCUUUCAACACGGGAAAACUACCCGGUUGGACACCAUUAGGACUGACAGAUUGAAAGUCUUUGUCGAUUUGGUGGUUGGUUGUGCAU
rnacentral:misc_RNA from 1 species